rnacentral:rRNA from 1 species
AUACGUAUGUCGCAAGCGUUAUCCGGAUUUAUUGGGCGUAAAGCGCGUCUAGGCGGCUUAGUAAGUCUGAUGUGAAAAUGCGGGGCUCAACCCCGUAUUGCGUUGGAAACUGCUAAACUAGAGUACUGGAGAGGUAGGCGGAACUACAAGUGUAGAGGUGAAAUUCGUAGAUAUUUGUAGGAAUGCCGAUGGGGAAGCCAGCCUACUGGACAGAUACUGACGCUAAAGCGCGAAAGCGUGGGUAGCAAACAGGAUUAGAUACCCUGGUAGUCCACGCCGUAAACGAUGAUUACUAGGUGUUGGGGGUCGAACCUCAGCGCCCAAGCUAACGCGAUAAGUAAUCCGCCUGGGGAGCACGUACGCAAGUAUGAAACUUAAAGGAAUUGACGGGG